rnacentral:lncRNA from 1 species
GGCGGCUCAGUCGGUUAAGCAUCCAACUCUGGUUUCACCUCAGGUCAUGAUUUCUGGGUCAUGAGGCAGAGCAUUGGGCUCUGUGCUCAGCAUGGAGUCUGCUUGAGAUUCUUCCCCUCUCUAUUCCCCUCUGCCUCUCCCCCCUCCCAGUGCAUGCUCUCUCAUUCUAAAAUAAAUAAAUAAAAUCUUAAAAAUAAUUUUAAAAGGGCAGCCCGGGUGACUCAGCAGUUUAGCGCCACCUUCAGCCCAGGGCGUGAUCCUGGAGUCCCGGGAUCGAGCUCUGGGUUGAAGGCAGCGCUAAACCGCUCAACCACCCGGCUGCCCCUCAUUUUCCCUUUUUAACUAAUUAAGUUGAAUGACUCCCAGAUGUACUGUGGGUUUUGCUUGUUCGCUCACUGUGGAAAACUUUGAUGACUAGGAACUUGCCUCUAAGAAUGCCUUUGACUGAACUGAAAUCCAUCCAGUUCAAUAUUCAGCCAUUUCUGGUCACCAGCACCCCUACUGGCCAACGUCCUGCCUGUCCCUCUCGUCCCAGUCAUAUUAUGACUAAGUGAGAUGAUAGGUGAAUGUAGUUGACAUGCUAUUUUCCUCUUUAACCCAACCAAUCCAGUAUAUGUAUUUCAAAACAUUUAUUUAUUGAUGCAUUGUUGAAUAAGACAGAGAAGGUGGAGAGAGGAGCCAGUGUAUAGUAUGCAAGCACGUGAAUAAAAAGAUACUUCAUCAUCAAGACAGUGUGGCAAAAGAACAGACAAACGGGCAAAGGGAACAGAGCAGGCAGCUGAGAAACAGACCCACACAAAUAUAGUCAGCUGAUCUUUGACAAAGGAACUAAGGAAAUAUGAUGGUGAACAGAUCAUCUUUUCAACAAAUGGUGCUGGAGCAACUGGACAUCCACAUGCAAAAAAAUUAAUCUAGGGGUCUCUGGCUGGCUCAGUCUGAGAGCCUGCAACACUUGGUCCCCGGGUUUGUAAAUGCGAGCCCCAUGCUGGCUGUAGAGAUUACUUAAAAAUAAAACUCUUUUGGGACACCUGGGUGGCUCAGCAGUUGGGUGUCUGUCUUUGGCUCAGGGCAUGAUCCCGGAGUGCCGGGAUCAAGUUCUGCAUCGGGCUCCUUGCAUGGAGCCUGCUUUUCCCUCUGUCUGUGUCUCUGCCGCUCUCUCUCUCUCAUGAAUAAAUAAAUAAAUUAAAAAAAAAUAAGUAGGGGAUCUCUGGGUGGCUCAGUGGUUUAGCGCCUGCCUUUGGUCCAGGGCAUGAUCUUGGGGUCCCGGGAUCGAGUCCGACAUUGGGCUCCCUGCAUGGUGCCUGCUUCUCCCUCUGCCUGUGUCUCUGCCUCUCUCUCUCUCUCUCUCUGUCUCUUAUGAAUAAAUAAAUAAAAUAUUUUUAAAAAUUAAUAAAUAAAAAUAUAAAUAAAUAAAUAAAUAAAAAUAAAAAUCUUUUAAAAUAAAUCUAGACCAUAGACCUUAUAUACCCUUUAUUUUUUAAUGUUUUUUUUUAAGAUUUUAUUUUUAAAUAAUCUCCACACCCACCAUGGGGCUCAUAUUCACAACUUUGAGAUUAAGAGUCACACAAUCUACCAAUGGAGCCAGCUGGGCACCCCAGACAUUAUACUCCUUAAAAAAUUAACUCAAGUGCAUCACAGAGAUAAAUGUAAAAUGAGGAAACCAUAGACAUCUAGAUGAUAACACAGGAGAAAAUCUAGAUGAUCUGGGGUUUGGUAAUGACAUUUUAGAUAUAAUCCAUGAAAAAAAUAACUGAUAGCCAAUAUUGCAUUAAAAUCAAAAAGGUCUGCUCUACAAAAGAUACCAUCGUGGCAAUGGGAAGAGAAAACACAGUCUAGAAGAACUAUUUGCAGGAUGGCUGGAUGGCUAGGCAUCUGCCUUUGGCUUGGGUUGUGAUCUCCAGGUUCUGGGAUUGAGCCCCACAUGAGGCUCCCAGCUCAGCGGGGAGUCUGCUUCUCCCUCUGCCUCUUUCCCACUUGUUCUUUCUCUUUCUCUCUCAAAUGAAAAAAUUAAAAAUAUUUUAAAAAUAUAUUUGCAGAAGACAGAUCUGAUGAAGGGCUGUUGUUAUCCAAAAUAUACAAAGAAGUCUUAACGUUCAACAAUAAGAAAAUAACUCAAUUUAAAAAUAGUCAAGGUAUCUGGGCAGACGCCUCACCAUAAAGGUACACUUAUGGCAAACACGUCGAUAAAGAGAAGUUCCACAUCAUAUGUUAUUAGGGAAUCACAAAUUUGAAUGAGAUACACAAAUGUUGGAAUGGUGAAAAUGCAAAAUGCUGACAACACAAAUUGCUGGUGAGGAUGUUGAAAAUCAGGAGCUCUCAUAUGCAGGUUAUGGGAACACAAAAUGAUAAGGUCACCUUGGAAGACAGUUUGGCAGUUUGUUAAAAACUAAACUUACUUUUACCAUAAGAUCCAGCAAUGGUGCUCUUUGCUAUUUACUAACCAAAGGAUGCAAAAUCUUAUAUCCACACAAAAAACCUGCGCAUGGGUGUUUAUAACAUCAUUGCCAAUAUCUGGAAGCAAGCAAGGUGUCCUUCAGUGGGCGAAUGGAUACAUAAACGGUUGUACCUCCAAAGCAGAACAUCAUUCAGUGCUAGAAAGAAAUGAGCUAUCAGGCCAUGGAAAGCCACGGAUGGAACCUGUAGUGCAUAUCACUAAGUGAAAGAAGCCAGUCUGAAAAGUCUACAUACUGCGUGAUUCCAAUUCUGACUUUCUGGAAAAGGCAAAACUACAGAGACAGUAAAAAAAUCAGUGGUUGCCAGGGAAUUGGCGGGGGGGGGGGGGGGGGGGGCGAUGAAUAAGCUGAGUACAGAGGGUUUUUAGCACAGCAAAUCUAUUCUGUACCCUGUAACAGUGAUACACGUCAUUAUACAUUUGCCCAAACCCACAGGAUGCAUAAGCCCAAGAAUGAACCCUAAUGUAAAGCAUGGACUCUGGGUGAUAAUGAUGUGUCAGUGUAGGUUUGUGGAUGUUAACAUCUUGCGUGAGAUUUGGAUAGUAGGAUAGGCUGUGCACUUAGGGGGGCAGGGGGAUGUCUGUGAUUUCUGCUCACCUUAACUGUGAACCUAAAACUGUUCUAAAUAAUAGAAUCUAUUUUUUUUUUAAGAUUUUAUUUAUUUAUUUGAGACAGAGAGACAGAGAGAAUAGGCAGAGGGACAGAGACAGAAGCAGAAGCACUCUGCUGAGCAGGGAGCCUGCUGUGGAACUUGAUCCCAAGACCGGAGCUGAAGGCAGAUGCUUAAUAGACUCAAGCCACACAGGCAUCCUGAAUCUUUUUUUAAAGAUUUUAUUUAUUUAUUCAUGAGAGACACAGAGAGAGGCAGAGACAUAGACAGAGAGAGAAGCAGGCUCUUCACGGGGAGCCCGAAGUGGGACUUGAUACCCGGACCCAGGAUCACGCCCUGAGCCAAAGGUAGACGUUCAACCACUGAGCCACCCAGGCGUCCCCAACGCUAUUUUUGUAAAAAUAUUUCAGGCAAGUGUUUUGAAGAAAAUACCUGAAGGUAAUAUGAUAGGGAGUAUGUGGAGGGGCAAAUUUUGAUGGGUUAUAGGUGUUCUCUAUAAGAGAUUUCAAACUUUUUUUUUUUUUGGUGAGGGAGGUUGUCUAAUCCUAGGGUUUCCUGCUGCUGUUGAGGUGAGAGGGUAGUGUUAUUACCAUAUUGUUAGCAAAUUGUGUGUAUGUGUAUGUGUGUGUGUUGCACUCAACAAUAUUUUCAGAUUUUUUUUAAGUUAAUAUAGUAGUCUUUAUUACCUAUCGUAUGAUCCUCUUGGUGAAUCAAUGUGCAUACCAUUUGCCAAAACAGAAAGAGCAUUUGCUGCUCCUAGGACUCACGGUUUAAUUUGCAUCUAUUAAUGAACAUUAUUGAUCAUAUUGUACACAUCUCUACAUUUUCAUUGAUUUAUUUCUUUUGACUUAUCCUGUCAAAAGACUGGAAAAGUGUGUUAAAGUUUCCCCAAACAAAAAACAAAACAAAACAAAAAAAAAAA